rnacentral:rRNA from 1 species
UACGAAGGGGGCUAGCGUUGCUCGGAAUCACUGGGCGUAACGCGCACGUAGGCGGACUCUUAAGUCUGUGGUGAAAUCCUGGAGCUCAACUCCAGAACUGCCUUCGAUACUGAGAGUCUCGAGUCCGGGAGAGGUGAGUGGAACUGCGAGUGUAGAGGUGAAAUUCGUAGAUAUUCGCAAGAACACCAGUGGCGAAGGCGGCUCACUGGCCCGGUACUGACGCUGAGGUGCGAAAGCGUGGGGAGCGAACAGG